AGAAAAGCUCCUGGUUGCUGUCGCCGCGCCGCCAAACUUUCGCACCCGGCAUCAUACUCUUUCGCACCGGACCCAACGGUGACCGCCUCCCUCAUCGCUGCUUCAAUAGUUUCUAUGCUUAGUGGAGCAUCAUGGCUUGCGCAUAACUGUUGGUGAUGCACGGUUCUGCAAGCCAUUGGAUUGUUUCCUCAUGGUUCUUCCAGAUCGUUAUAUUGACCACGGAUCGCCUACUGUUCAGUUGUCUAAAGCUGGCCUUGCUCCAACUCAGAUAGCAACAACUGUGUUGAACACACUUGGACAGACAAGGGAGGCACUAGAGGUUAUGUCAUAAAAAGAGAAAUAUCAAGAGGGGUUAAAUUUUUACUCCCCACAAUAUACACAUGUUAACGAUAUAAAUCACCUUGUGUAACACAAACAAGGUACUAUUAGAAUGUGAAUUAUGUAAAUGUUAGUAACAAUGUAGUUAUAUCAAAUAGUAGUAUCAGAUGGUUGCAACUUGCAAGGAAGAAAUAAUGUCAAUUUUUCGAUGCUAUUUGCUGAGGAAGUUGGUUCAUGAAAUGACCAAAUUUAAAAUGGUUUUUCUUUUA